AUUCGAGCGUUAUCCGGAUUUAUUGGGUUUAAAGGGAGCGUAGAUGGAUGUUUAAGUCAGUUGUGAAAGUUUGCGGCUCAACCGUAAAAUUGCAGUUGAUACUGGCAUCCUUGAGUACAGUAGAGGUAGGCGGAAUUCGUGGUGUAGCGGUGAAAUGCUUAGAUAUCACGAAGAACUCCGAUUGCGAAGGCAGCCUGCUGGACUGUAACUGACGCUGAUGCUCGAAAGUGUGGGUAUCAAAC
rnacentral:rRNA from 1 species